rnacentral:pre_miRNA from 1 species
CAACUACUCCCUCUAUCCCAAAUUUCUUGUCUUAGAUUUGUCUAGAUAUGGAUGUAUCUAAUACUAAAAUGUGACUUGAUACAUCUAUAUCUAGAGAAAUCUAAGACAAGAAUUUUGGGAUGAAGGGAGUACUUU